rnacentral:tRNA from 1 species
GGGGCGUAGCCAAGGGGUUGGUUAUGGCGUCGGGUUUUGGUCCCGGCGCUCAAACAAAGGUUCGAAUCCUUUCGUCCCAG